GGACUGUAGGGUCCUCCAUCGAGUGGAUGACCUCCUGCAGCAUAGAUAUAGUAGCACCUACGAGACCUGGAUCUCAGGUGCAUACUCCAUAGUCAAGUCGACUAUGAGCCCAGAAAUGGUAGUCGACGGACCAGCCUCAACCUCCACCUCCACCUCGACGGGAAUAAUAUCUUCGGCAUCCCUGGAUCAAUCAGGUCACAAGAUCAUCAUCCGGCUACAGAGUACAAAAAUC
rnacentral:lncRNA from 1 species